AGUGAACGCUGGCGGUAGGCCUAACACAUGCAAGUCGAACGGCAGCACAGUAAGAGCUUGCUCUUACGGGUGGCGAGUGGCGGACGGGUGAGGAAUACAUCGGAAUCUACUUUUUCGUGGGGGAUAACGUAGGGAAACUUACGCUAAUACCGCAUACGACCUACGGGUGAAAGCAGGGGAUCUUCGGACCUUGCGCGAUCGAAUGAGCCGAUGUCGGAUUAGCUAGUUGGCGGGGUAAAGGCCCACCAAGGCGACGAUCCGUAGCUGGUCUGAGAGGAUGAUCAGCCACACUGGAACUGAGACACGGUCCAGACUCCUACGGGAGGCAGCAGUGGGGAAUAUUGGACAAUGGGCGCAAGCCUGAUCCAGCCAUACCGCGUGGGUGAAGAAGGCCUUCGGGUUGUAAAGCCCUUUUGUUGGGAAAGAAAAGCAGCAGGUUAAUACCCCGCUGUUCUGACGGUACCCAAAGAAUAAGCACCAGCUAACUUCGUG
rnacentral:rRNA from 1 species